rnacentral:rRNA from 1 species
GGAGCGGCCGAUGUCUGAUUAGCUAGUUGGUAAGGUAAUGGCUUACCAAGGCAACGAUCAGUAGUUGGUCUGAGAGGACGACCAGCCACACUGGGACUGAGACACGGCCCAGACUCCUACGGGAGGCAGCAGUGGGGAAUUUUGGACAAUGGGCGCAAGCCUGAUCCAGCAAUGCCGCGUGAGUGAAGAAGGCCUUCGGGUUGUAAAGCUCUUUCAGUUGAGAAGAAAAGAUUGUGACUAAUAAUUGCAAUUCAUGACGGUAUCGACAGAAGAAGCACCGGCUAACUACGUGCCAGCAGCCGCGGUAAUACGUAGGGUGCGAGCGUUAAUCGGAAUUACUGGGCGUAAAGGGUGCGCAGGCGGUUCUGUAAGUCAGAUGUGAAAUCCCCGGGCUUAACCUGGGAAC